UGCUCUAAAUUAAGAAUUAAUAUUUUAAUAUUUUCAGUAUUACGCUUUAAAUUUAAGCUAAGAGAGCAA
rnacentral:tRNA from 1 species